AUCCGCCUCUGUCCAACAAGGCUAAAUAUUUGUCUCCUCCCACCAACAAUGAAUAUCAUGCAACUCUAUCCACCAAAACUAGGACAAGUGGGAAGAGUCAUUAGUGUUUUUUGUCCCUCCUAAAAUUUGAACCCAAGAUCUCAUAUUUUAAAUCCACUUCAUUUUUUCAUCUUAAUUUUCCCUAACGACAAAAUCUCUUUAUGUGUCCAUGAACAGAAAAGGGACAAGUUUUUUUUUAUCCAAUUUAAAUAUGAUAUUAUUAACAUUUAUUUAAAAUAUUGAAAAUGUAGAGGGUGGAGAGCCACAAGGGGAAGAGAGGCGUUGAGGGAGGUUGUUCGUAAGACGUUCCACACUAGUGGUUUUGCUCUCAAUUCAAAAAAUGAACCCUACCAUACAUAUAAUCAACUCAUUAUUCACCCCAUAAUCAUAUGAUAUAAUACUACUAAGUAACCUUUUUGGUUGAAGAAAAAGCUAGGAAGUGCUAUCUUUGAAGGAUUGGAAUUGGAGAUUCUUUAAUAUUGAAGGCAUAAGUUUGGAUUUCUAAACUGCUUUAAUUACAUAAAUGUCAAAGUUAUGUAUCUUUAUGAUCUAUGGUCAACCACAAUAUAUACAUACAAGUCUGUAUUCGCGAGAAAAUGUUCUUGAGUAUUAGUGUAUUUUUGCAAGUACUAUUCACGUUCAUUUUGAAAUUAUAUAGCAAUCUCAUAGAAUUUGGCAGGUACAUUUGAAGUCGAUGCAUGAAUGAAAUAUGAAAAUUAUUACAAUAGGGAGAAAUUUCAACAAAUUACUGAUGCAGCAUGAAGAGAAAUGACUAUUAAGGUAAAGCCAGCAAUUGCCCUGAGGGCCAUCCUUGUUGGAGGAAUUGCUGCAUUUUCCAAAAUCGGUGGUGCUGUUAAAGAUGUAGGAGGUGUAAAAGCCGGCACAGCUACUGCUGCUAUGAGUGCUGCAGCAACUGCUGCCUUUUCAGGAUCCAGGCAAGAAGCGAAAACAGCUUCUCAGCAGUCAUCAAAAUGAUGAUCUAUAUGAAGAUCAGUGUAGAGAUAGUGAUCCCCAUUUCAGCUUGUGAUCUUUUUCCUUCACUAUAAUGUACUAUAUUUUAGGACAAACUAUAAGCUAUAGGUUAGUGGGGUUGCUAAUUGGAUGGUUUCUUUAAUUGAUCAAGUAGGUUAUGUAAUUGAGGCCUGGUUGCUGGUUCUGUACAAAUGGAUGUAGGAAAUUGUUGAAGUGAAGAGCUUUUUGUUAUCA